rnacentral:rRNA from 1 species
UACAGAGACUGCAAGCGUUAUUCGGAUUCACUGGGCGUAAAGCGCACGUAGGCGGAUUUGUUUAAGUCAGGGGUGAAAUCCUGGAGCUCAACUCCAGAACUGCCUUUUGAUACUGGCGAUCUUGAGUCCGGGAGAGGUGAGUGGAACUGCGAGUGUAGAGGUGAAAUUCGUAGAUAUUCGCAAGAACACCAGUGGCGAAGGCGGCUCACUGGCCCGGUACUGACGCUGAGGUGCGGAAAAGCGUGGGGGAGCAAAACAGGG